AUUACAGGCGUGAGCCACCGCACCCGGCCUCCAAGCCUUCUUUGCUUCCUUGCCACUAGUGUUUUUAAAUUCUAAGAAUUCAAACUCCUUUUCUGCAUAUUACAAUACUCCAAUUUUAUAGCAUCAUCCUGUUGUUUCACGGAUUUAUGAUAUCUUUCAGAGGAUAUAGAUGAUAGUUGAGUUGUGGCUAUGUUGUUGUUGCUGUUCUGUUUUUUUCCUUCUAUGUUUCCUUCAAGUUGCUUUUGUCUUCUUGAAAGUUUUAGUCUCCAUGUUUUAUGGUACAUGUGAAUGGUGAUUUUUGGUUAUCUUAUAUUCAGAAGUUAGGGACCAAACAAUAGUUGAUUGUAAGGCUCAAGUCAGCUGGCAGGGUGUAUGUAUUACAAGGAUCACUGUAGAGUUACAGGCCUGGAAUGUUUUAUAGGGAGAACCCCUGACAUCAAAACUUUUAGCAUUUCUAUCCUAAUAUUUGAUGUAGUCUGAUUCCUCAGAGAAGGGGUGACAAAUCUCCUGCCUCAUGGACAUGGGCCUGACUGCAAGUCUCUGGAAUAAGAUAGAAGAAAAAGACCGGCAUUCUCAAAAUUCAGAAUAUAAGCAUUCACUUCUUCCUCCUUCUAUCUGGCAUCCCCAGUCCAGAGAAUGUGUCUGAUGAGGGAACCAUCCCUCUUCUGGCUGGGUUGGAGAGGAACUGUCACCUAGUGCAAGGAGUAGAGGGGGCAUCAGAGACUCUCACCUAUUUAUUGAUAUGUUUUGGCUGUGUCCCCACCCAAAUCUCAUCUUGAAUUCCCGCAUGUUUGGGGAGGGACCCACUGGGAGGUAAUUAAAUCGUGGGGGCAAGUCUUUCCCAUGCUAUUCUCCAAUAGUGAAUAAGUCUCAUAAGAUUUGAUGGUUUUAAGAUUUGAUGGUUUUAAAAAGAGGAGUCCCCUGCAAAAUAUUUCUUUGCCUGCUGCCAUCCACGUUAAGACAUGACUUGCUCUUCCUUGCCUUCAUGCCAUGAUUAUGAGGCCUCCCCAGCCACGUGAACUGUAAGUCCAAUUGAACCUCUUUCUUUUGUAAAUUGCCUAGUCACGUGUAUGUCUUUAUCAGCAGCAUGAAAAUGGACUAAUGCAUUUACAACCUUACUUUCAACCAAUUUUCCCACUUUUAGGCCCUGUUUCCCCCUCCUCUCAUCAUACAGGUAGUUGGCACAAUCAAUUUCUGAGCCUUUGGAGUUCAGUGGUAUAACUUUGGUGGACUCUCAGCUUUCCAUUCCUAUUCUAUUUGACCUCAUAUGUUUAUAUCCUUAAAAAUAAUUCAUUUACUCUCCUUUAUGGCGUGAACCCGGGAGGCGGAGCUUGCAGUGAACCAAGAUCGUGCCACUGUAUUCCAGCCUGAGCGACAGAGUGACAGUCCAUCUCAAAAAAAAACAAAAUUCAUUUAUUCUCCUUUAAGUAAGUUUUCUAGAGGGAUCAAAAUGCACACUGGCCCAAGUUCCACUUACCAGCCCCUGCAUUUCUUUGCCUGAGGACUUCUUGCUGCUGGAGCCCACACUGCCAACCACAGAGCUGGCAGAAAUGACAGGAAUACAAUGCUCACUGGUUGCAUCCCUGAACAAAUGACUGAUGACAGCUGGUGUAUAAAUACCCCAGUUCUUUCUCCCUUCCAAUACAAUAGCUCUGCAGCCCAGGCCCUACACUUUCUUUCAGAGCUUUACUUAACCACAGUAGUAACUGCUUGAUUGUACAAACCUUACUGGCUGCCUGUACUUCAUGUCCUAUUCCCUCACUUCCCUUCCAAUGGUACCAUCAUAUCCCAAAUAAAUGAUUUGCAUUUGUCUUUGUCUUUUGAAGGAACUGAAACUCAGACAAUGGUUUUUUUUCUUUUAGCCAUGAAGAGAGGUUACUCUUAUAAUCAAGAAAACCCAGUGCCAAGACCCACUGUAUCUUCUAAUUCCCAGUGUCAUUUCUCUUCCUCUUUCCAAAUAUUGAAUACCAACAACACAUUCCUCCAAAGUCCCUAAAGGGUGCACUACCCCUCCAGUUCUG
rnacentral:lncRNA from 1 species